AGAGUUUGAUCAUGGCUCAGGAUGAACGCUGGCGGCGUGGAUAAGGCAUGCAAGUCGAGAGGGUUUAGACCCUCGGCAAACGGGGUUAGUAAUACAUAGGAAUCUGCCCUUGAGUCGUGAAUACCCUGGAGAAAUCCAGGACAAUACACGAUGGUCUCUACGGAGUAAAGAUUUAUCGCUCAAGGAGGAGCCUGUGUCCUAUCAGCUUGUUGGUAAGGUAAUGGCUUACCAAGGCUAUGACGGGUAGGGGGUGUGAGAACACGGCCCCCAACAUUGGAACUGAGACACUGUCCAAACAUCUACGGAUGGCUGCAGUCGAGAAUAUUCCACAAUGGACGAAAGUCUGAUGGAGCGACGCCGCGUGUGGGAAGAAGGUUUUCGGAUCGUAAACCACUUUUCUUAGGGAGUAAUUUCGAUGAAAGUACCUAAGGAAUAAGAGGUUACUAACUCUGUGCCAGCAGUAGCGGUAAUACAGAGACCUCAAGCGUUAUCCGGAUUUAUUGGGCGUAAAGCGCAGGUAGGCGGUUUGAUUAGUCAGAUGUCAAAGACCGGGGCUCAACCUCGGGCAGGCAUUUGAAACGGUCAAACUAGAGAAUGUAAGAGAUUGCUGGAAUUCAUGGUGUAGUAGUGAAAUGCGUUGAUAUCAUGAGGAACACUCAAGGCGAAGGCAAGCAAUUGGUGCAUUUCUGACGCUGAGCUGCGAAAGCGUGGGGAGCGAAUGGGAUUAGAUACCCUAGUAGUCC
rnacentral:rRNA from 1 species